rnacentral:tRNA from 1 species
GCCUGGGUGGCUCAGUCGGUUAAGCGUCCGACUUCGGCUCAGGUCACGAUCUCGCGGUUCGUGAGUUCGAGCCUCGCAUCAGGCU